rnacentral:misc_RNA from 1 species
GAUGAAGAACGCAGCGAAAUGCGAUAAGUAAUGUGAAUUGCAGAAUUCAGUGAAUCAUCGAAUCUUUGAACGCACAUUGCGCCCGCCAGUAUUCUGGCGGGCAUGCCUGUUCGAGCGUCAAUUCAACCAUCAAGCCCCCGGCUUGUGUUGGGGACCUGCGGCUGCCGCAGGCCCUGAAAACCAGUGGCGGGCUCGCUAGUCACUCCGAGCGUAGUAAUACAUCUCGCUCAGGGCGUGCUGCGGGUUCCGGCCGUUAAAAAGCCUUAUUUACCCAAGGUUGACCUCGGAUCAGGUAGGAAGACCCGCUGAACUUAAGCAUAUCAAUAAGCGGAGGA